AACAAUGCGUUAUCUGGAGUGGCCAAAGGGCUGUAUGUUGCUUCACCCUCAGGAUAAUCAUCUUUGAGCGAAGUUGGAGUCCUUGAGAGAGAUGCACAAGGAAACCACACAUUGGUCCAGGCUGAGAUUGAAUCAGGACGCCCACGCCAGAUUUGCCUUCACCUUUCUUUCAUAGGGCAUCAUUUGUGGGGUAGACCUU